CAGCAGUUGAGGUAAGGUGGAUUAUGUUUAAUAGUCAUAUUUCAUUUUGACGUUUAGCUUGCAGAAGAAGCACCGGCUAACUCCGUGCCAGCAGCCGCGGUAAUACGGAGGGUGCGAGCGUUUAAUCGGAAUUUACUGGGCGUUAAAAGCGCAUGCAGGUGGUUUGUUAAGUCAGAUGUGAAAGCCCGGGGCUCAACCUCGGAAUUUGCAUUUGAAACUGGCAAACUAGAGUACUGUAGAGGGGGUAGAAUUUCAGGUGUAGCGGUGAAAUGCGUAGAGAUCUGAAGGAAUACCGGUGGCGAAGGCGGCCCCCUGGACAGAUACUGACACUCAGAUGCGAAAGCGUGGGGAGCAAACAGGAUUAGAUACCCUGGUAG
rnacentral:rRNA from 1 species